rnacentral:lncRNA from 1 species
UCAAGACAUAUACGUCAUAGCCAAUUAACAAACAAUAAAACAUUGAAUAAAAACGUGGAGAAGGGAGAUUGGAAUUUCCAAAAUUCUUAUGAGGCUUUAAUUAAGUCCACUGGGUGCUCGGAAUUAUCAAAUCAUUUCUACAUUUCCAUUCUAAGGGGAAAAAAUAAUUCACCUUCAAUGUUCAAAAGCACUAGGAUAAACCUUACUCUUCAUUAAUAAUACCAUUUAUAACUA